GUCUUUUUGAAAUAAUUUAAAGUCUAAUCUGCCCACUGAUAUGAAUUAAAGGGCUGCAGUAUAAUGACUGUACAAAGGUAGCAUAAUCAAUAGUUUUUUAAUUGAAAACUUGUAUGAAAGAUUUGAUGAAAUAUAAACUGUCUCUAAUUUAUAUAUUGAAUUUUAUUUUUUAGUAAAAAAGCUAAAAUAAAUUUAAAAGACGAGAAGACCCUAUAGAGUUUUAUAUUUAAUUUUAUUUGAAAAUUAUAUAAAAAUUAAUAUUUAAAAUAAAAUUAAAUAUUAUAUUGGGGUGAUAGAAAAAUUAAAUUAACUUUUUUUAAAAAUUAAACAUAAAUAAAUGAUUAAAUGAUCCAUAAAUAAUGAUUAUAAGAAAAAAUUACCUUAGGGAUAACAGCGUAAUAUUUUUUUUUAGCUCAAAUAAAAAAAAAAGUUUGCGACCUCGAUGUUGGAUUAAGAUAAAAUUUAAAUGCAAAAGUUUAAAAGUUUUGAUCUGUUCGAUCAUUAAAAUCUUACA
rnacentral:rRNA from 1 species